GAUGAACGCUGGCGGCGUGCCUAAUACAUGCAAGUCGAGCGAACACACGAGGAGAUCGCGCCUCUGACGUUAGCGGCGGACGGGCGAGUAACGCGUGGAUAACCUUCCUCUAAGACUGGGAUAACUUCGGGAGACCGCAGCUGCUAACAGAUCAUAUAAUGAACGGCAUGGUUCAAUAGUGCAAGGCGGCUUUGCUGUCACUUAUAGAUGGAUUCGCGCCGCAUUAGCUAGUUGGUAAGGUAACGGCUUACCAAGGCAACGAUGCUUAGCCGACCUGAGAGGGUGAACGGCCACACGGGAACUGAGACACGGUCCAGACUCCUGCGAGGGGCAGCAGUAGGGAAUCGUCCGAAAGGGGCGAAAGCCUGACAGCGCAACGCCGCGUGAGAGAAGAAGCUCUGGGUAUCGUAAAACUCUGUUAGUAGGAAAAAAGAAGCGUGUAAGUAACUAGGCGCGUCGACACGAUACCUAGUCAGAAAGCCGCCUCUAACUGCG
rnacentral:rRNA from 1 species